rnacentral:lncRNA from 1 species
UUUCGGGCUCCAUGAAAGUAAUACCCGGGUAUUAGGUUUUGGGGCUAUAGUAAGGUUUAAGUUUUUUGGCGUUAGGGUUAAAAUCACUGUCCAAAACCUUUGUAGGAACUCUUUUACAACCUUUUGGAGUUAGUUAGACCAAAAAAAAAAGAAAAAUGAAAAAAAAAGUAUUUGGGGUGUUCAGGCUUCCUAAAAGUAAUACCCGGGUAUUAGGUUAUGGGGCUAUGGUAAGGUUUAAGGUUUUUGGCGUUAGGGUUAAAAUCACUGUCCAAAACCUUUGUAGGAACUCUUUUCCAACCUUUUGGAGUUAGUUAGACCAAAAAAUAUGAAAAAAGAAAAAAAUAUUAUUGGGGGUUUUCGGGCUCCCUGAAAGUAAUACCCGGGUAUUAGGUUAUGGGGCUAUGGUAAGGUUUAAGGUUUUUGGCGUUAGGGUUAAAAUCACUGUCCAAAACCUUUGUAGGAACUCUUUUCCAACCUUUUGGAGUUAGUUAGACCAAAAAAUAUGAAAAAAGAAAAAAAUAUUAUUGGGGGUUUUCGGGCUCCCUGAAAGUAAUACCCGGGUAUUAGGUUUUGGGGCUAUGGUAAGGUUUAAGUUUUUUGGCGUUAGGGUUAAAAUCACUGUCCAAAACCUUUGUAGGAACUCUUUUCCAACCUUUUGGAGUUAGUUAGACCAAAAAAAAAAUGAAAAAUGGAAAAACAAUAUUUGGGGUUUUCGGGCUCCAUGAAAGUAAUACCCGGGUAUUAGAUUUUGAGUCUAGGGUAAGGUUUAAGUUUUUUGGCAUUAGGGUUAAAAUCACUGUCCAAAACCUUUGUAGGAACUCUUUUCCAACCUUUUGGAGUUGGUUACACCAACAAAAAUGUAAAAUGAAGAAAAAAAUAUUUGGGGUGUUCAGGCUUCCUGAAGGUAAUACCCGGGUAUUAGAUUUCAAGGCUAGGGUAAGGUUUAAGGUUUUUGGCGUUAGGGUUAAAAUCACUGUCCAAAACCUUUGUAGGAACUCUUUUCCAACCUUUUGGAGUUAGUUAGACCAAAAAAUAUGAAAAAAGAAAAAAAUAUUAUUGGGGGUUUUUGGGGCUCCCUGAAAGUAAUACCCGUGUAUUAGGUUUUGGGACUAGGGAAAGGUUUAAGGGUUUUUGCGUUAGGGUUAAAAUCACUGUCCAAAACCUUUGUAGGAACUCUUUUCCAACCUUUUGGAGUUAGUUAGACCAAAAAAAAAAGAAAAAUGAAAAAAAAAAUAUUUGGGGUGUUCAGGCUUCCUAAAAGUAAUACCCGGGUAUUAGGUUAUGGGGCUAUGGUAAGGUUUAACGUUUUGGCGUUAGGGUUAAAAUCACUGUCCAAAACCUUUGUAGGAACUCUUUAACAACCUUUUGGAUUUAGUUAGACCAAAAAAAAUGAAAAAUUAAAAAAAAUAUAUUUGGGGUGUUCAGGCUUCCUAAAAGUAAUACCCGGGAAUUAGGUUAUGGGGCUAUGGUAAGGUUUAAGGUUUUUGGCGUUAGGGUUAAAAUCACUGUCCAAAACCUUUGUAGGAACUCUUUUUCAACCUUUUGGAGUUAGUUAGACCAAAAAAAAAUGAAAAAUGAAAAAAAAUAUAUUUGGGGUUUACGGGCUUCCUGAAUGUAAUACCCGGGUAUUAGAUUUUAAGGCCAGGGAAAGGUUUAAGUUUUUUGGCGUUAGGGUUAAAAUCACUGUCCAAAACCUUUGUAGGAACUCUUUUCCAACCUUUUGGAGUUAGUUAGACCAAAAAAUAUGAAAAAAGAAAAAAAUAUUAUUGGGGGUUUUCGGGCUCCAUGAAAGUAAUACCCGGGUAUUAGGUUUUGGGGCUAUAGUAAGGUUUAAGUUUUUUGGCGUUAGGUUUAAAAUCACUGUCCAAAACCUUUGUAGGAACUCUUUAACAACCUUUUGGAUUUAGUUAGACCAAAAAAAAAUGAAAAAUUAAAAAAAAUAUAUUUGGGGUGUUCAGGCUUCCUAAAAGUAAUACCCGGGAAUUAGGUUAUGGGGCUAUGGUAAGGUUUAAGGUUUUUGGCGUUAGGGUUAAAAUCACUGUCCAAAACCUUUUUAGGAACUCUUUUUCAACCUUUUGGAGUUAGUUAGACCAAAAAAAAAUGAAAAAUGAAAAAAAUAUAUUUGGGGUUUACGGGCUUCCUGAAUGUAAUACCCGGGUAUUAGAUUUUAAGGCCAGGGAAAGGUUUAAGUUUUUUGGCGCUAGGGUUAAAAUCACUGUCCAAAACCUUUGUAGGAACUCUUUUCCAACCUUUUGGAGUUAGUUAGACCAAAAAAAAUGAAAAAUUAAAAAAAAUAUUUGGGGUUUUCGGGCUUCCUGAAUGUAAUACCCGGGUAUUAGGUUUUGGGGCUAGGAUUAGGUUUAAGGUUUUUGGCGUUAGGGUUAAAAUCACUGUCCAAAAUUUUUUAAGGAACAUGUUUCAGACCUUUUGGAGUUAGUUAGACCAAAAAAAAAGAAAAAAGAAAAAAAAAUAUUUGGGGUGUUCGGGCUUCCUGAAGGUAUUAGGUUUUGGGGCUAGGGUAAGGUUUAAGGUUUUUGGCGUAAGGGUUAAAAUCACUGUCCAAAACUGUUUAAGGAACAAGAUUCAGACCUUUUGGAGUUGGUUACAUCAAAAAAAAUGUAAAAUGAAAAAAAUAUAUUUGGGGUUUUUGGGCUUCCUGAAGGUAAUACCCAGGUAUUAGUUUAUGGGGCUAUAGUAAGGUUUAAGGUUUUUGGCGUUAGGGUUAAAAUCACUGUCCAAAACCUUUGUAGAAACUCUUUUCCAACCUUUUGGAGUUAGACCAAAAAAAAACUAAAAAUGAAAAAAAAAAUAUUUGGGGUUUUCGGGCUUCCUGAAGGUAAUACCCGGGUAUUAGGUUAUGGGGCUAGGGUAAGGUUUAAGGUUUUUGGCGUUAGGGUUAAAAUCACUGUCCAAAACCUUUGUAGAAACUCUUUUCCAACCUUUUGGAGUUAGACCAAAAAAAAACUAAAAAUGAAAAAAAAAAUAUUUGGGGUUUUCGGGCUUCCUGAAGGUAAUACCCGGGUAUUAGGUUAUGGGGCUAGGGUAAGGUUUAAGGUUUUUGGCGUGAGGGUUAAAAUCACUGUCCAAAACCUUUGUAGGAAGUCUUUUCCAACCUUUUGGAGUUAGUAAGACCAAUAAAAAAAUGAAAAAUGAAAAAAAAAAAUUUGGGGUUUUUGGGCUCCCUGAAGGUAAUACCCGGGUAUUAGGUUAUGGGGCUAGGGUAAGGUUUAAGGUUUUUGGCGUGAGGGUUAAAAUCACUGUCCAAAACCUUUGUAGGAAGUCUUUUCCAACCUUUUGGAGUUAGUUAGACCAAUAAAAAAUGAAAAAUGAAAAAAAAAAAUUUGGGGUGUUCGGGCUUCCUGAAGGUAAUACCCGGGUAUUAGGUUUUGGGGCUAGGAUUAGGUUUAAGGUUUUUGGUGUUAGGGUUAAAAUCACUGUCCAAUAUUUUUUAAGGAACUUGUUUCAGACCUUUUGGAGUUAGUUAGACCAAAAAAAAAGAAAAAAGAAAAAAAAAAUAUUUGGGGUGUUCGGUCUUCCUGAAGGUAUUAGGUUUUGGGGCUAGGGUAAGGUUUAAGGUUUUUGGCGUUAGGGUUAAAAUCACUGUCCAAAACCUUUUAAGGAACAAGAUUCAGACCUUUUGGAGUUGGUUACACCAAAAAAAAUGUAAAAUGAAAAAAAAUAUAUUUAGGGUGUUCGGGCUUCCUGAAGGUUACUUAAACCCUUCAGGUUUAAGUAUUAGGUUAUAGGGCUAGGAUUAGGUUUAAGUUUUUUGGCGCAAGGGUUAAAAUCACUGUCCAAUAUUUUUUAAGGAACAUGUUUCAGACCUUUGGGAGUUAGUUAGACAAAAAAAAAGAAAAAGAAAAAAAAAAUUUGGGGUGUUCGGGCUUCCUGAAGGUAAUACCCGGGUAUUAGGUUAUGGGGCUAGGGUAAGGUUUAAGGUUUUUGGCGUUAGAGUUAAAAUCAGUGUCCAAAACCUUUUUAGGAACAUGUUUCAGACCUUUUGGAGUUGGUUACACCAAAAAAAAAAGUAAAAUGAAAAAAAUAUAUUUGGGGUUUUUGGGCUUCCUUUGUAUUAGGUUAUGGGGCUAUAGUAAGGUUUAAGGUUUUUUGUGUGAGGGUUAAAAUCACUGUCCAAAACCUUUUUAGGGACAUGUUUCAGACCUUUUGGAGUUGGUCACACCAAAAAAAAAUGUAAAAUGUAAAAAAAAAAUAUUUGGGGUGUUCGGGCUACCGGAAGGUAAUAUCCGGGUAUUAGGUUAUGGGGCUGGGGUAAGGUUUAAGGUUUUUGGCGUUAGGGUUAAAAUCACUGUUCAAAACCUUUGUAGGAACUCUUUUCCAACGUUUUGGAGUUAGUUAGAGCAAAAAAAAAAAACGAAAAAUGAAAAAAAGAUAUUUGGGGUGUUCGGACUUCCUGAAGGUAAUACCCUGGUAAUAGGUUAUCGGGCUAGGGUAAGUUUUAAGGUUUUUGGCGUUAGGGUUAAAAUCACUGUCCAAAACCUUUGUAGGAACUCUUUUCCAACCUUUUGGAGUUAGUUAGACCAAAAAAAAAUUAAAAAUGAAAAAAAAAUAUUUGGGGUGUUCGGGCUUCCUGAAGGUAAUACCCGGGUAUUAGGUUUUGGGGCUAGGGUAAGGUUUAAGGUUUUUGGUGUUAGGGUUAAAAUCACUGUCCAAAUCCUUUGUAGGAACUCUUUUCCAACCUUUUGGAGUUAGUCAGACCAAAAAAACUAGGGCCCCGUUGGGGCACUGGCGGGACCGAGCCGCGUCGCGUCGCCCUCAGCGCGACCGCCUCCCCCUCGCGAUUGCGUCACACUCAAGGUCCAAAGAUGGUGUGCGCACCUGUCUUUGGUCUUUUACCAUUAUAAUGAAUGGGAGGCGCAGUUUCUACCAAAACACUCGCUGCAGACAAACUACAUGUCCUAUAUGAAAAAAGUCUGGACCAUGAGUGAGGGCACAAACACAGCUAGGAUAUAUCCAAAUGGCAAGUUGCUCCUCCUUACGGUGUUGCCGGGAGAGCGAUGCGUUUCAGCCAUUGAGCAACACGCAAGAAAAAUAAAAUUUCUCCUGCCAUGGGGGGUAAGGAAAAUGACCAAUUCUUUUUUAUCAAACAUUAUAAAAACUGGUUAUCUCUUGCAGGGCAUCAAAGUCUUGAAUAUGUGAGAGAUAAGUAAUAUGAUUGACUUUGAUGCCUUUUAACUUUUUCUGUAGCAUCAGAUUUAAUAGACAACUCCCUUUGGCGCCCCUCCGUGGCCAUAACUACUUUGUCUGCUGUUAAUAGACAGCUCCCUUUGGCGCCACUCAGUGGCCAAAAUUACUUUGUCUGCUGUAAAAUCAUAUUGGAUUAAUAUUUUUUCCAGAUUUUUUUUUGUACAUCUCUUAUUUUACUUCUGCCCUGUUCAAAACUAGCAAAUGUUUCAUUGAAAAUAAUUUUUUGUAACCCUUUAAGAGCCCAUUUAAGACAUAAAGUCACUAAUAUAGCAAAAAUGUGAGCCUUUUAACUUUUUCUGUAGCAUCAGAUUUAAUAGACAACUCCCUUUGGCGCCCCUCAGUGGCCAUAUCUACUUUGUCUGCUGUUAAUAGACAGCUCCCUUUGGCGCCACUCAGUGGCCAAAAUUACUUUGUCUGCUGUAAAAUCAUAUUGGAUUAAUAUUUUUUCCAGAUUUUUUUUUGUACAUCUCUUAUUUUACUUCUGCCCUGUUCAAAACUAGCAAAUGUUUCAUUGAAAAUAAUUUUUUGUAACCCUUUAAGAGUCCAUUUAAGACAUAAAGUCACUAAUAUAGCAAAAAUGUGAGCCUUUUAACUUUUUCUGUAGCAUCAGAUUUAAUAGACAACUCCCUUUGGCGCCCCUCAGUGGCCAUAUCUACUUUGUCUGCUGUUAAUAGACAACUCCCUUUGGCGCCACUCAGUGGGCCAAAAGGACUUUUAAGAAUGUGGAUUUUUGGGUCAUCUUUGGCGCCCCCUAGAACGUAAACCGUGGGAUGCAGCGUCAUGAUUUUUACAACUUUGAAUGGCCAUGGGGUGUAGAUUGGCCUGAGCAAAUUUGGUGUCGGUGGGACGAAAGCCUUAGGAGGAGUUAGUCACAUUCCAAUGUGUGCGAAUCGGCAAAAAAUGCGAAAUAGCCCUUUAACCGUACAUUUUACAGACACGUGCCCAUUGACUUUUUCAUAGAUCUUAUUGAGAUACACGUGAUUGUCAAAUUUUGUGUCAAUAUGACAAAGCGUAUAGGCGUGACACUCAACAAUGUGUAUUUUCACCUUAGGGGACAAGAAAAAAUUGAAUUUUUUCUCCUGCAAUGGGGGGGCGCUCUUUUGGGGAGUAAAAAUUCCUUCACAAAUGUGUUGAUGGCUGGACAUUGCAUCAUCCUAGAAAAUUCAAAGAUCACAAAACAGCACAAUCUCAAGUUCAAACACGACACAAACUCAGGUUCAACAAACACACAAACUCAAGUUUAACCAAUACCCAAUUCUCACGUUUAACAAUUUCCACAACCUCAAGUUCAAACACGACACAAACUCAAGUUCAAACACGACACAAACUCAAGUUCAAACACGACACAAACUCAAGUUCAAACAACACCCAAAUAUCAAGUUUAACAUCUGCCAAAACCUCAAGUUCAAAAACACCACAAACUCAAGUUCUAAAUGACAAAAACUCAAGUUCAACAAACACACGAACUCAAGUUCAACCAAUGCCCACUUCGCAAGUUUAACAAUUUCCACAACCUCAAGUUAAAAAAAAAACAAAAACUCAAGUUCAGACACACCACAAACUCAAGUUAGAAAAACACACAGACUCAAGUUCAACCAACACCUAAGUCACAAGUUUAACAAUUGCCACAAACUUCAGUUCAAAAAACACAAAAGCUCAAGAUCAAAAACACCACAAACUCAAGUUCAAACACGAUUCACAAACUCAAGUUCAACCAAAUCCCAAAUCUCAAGUUUAACAAUUUCCACAACCUCAAGUUCAAAACCAACAGAAACUCAAGUUCAAACACGCCACAAACUCAAGUACAACAAACGCCACAAACUCAAGUUCAACAAUUGCCACCAAGUAAAGUUCAGAGAAAAAUACAGACUCAAGGUUAACAAUUGCCACAAACUCAAGUUCAUCAAACACCACAAGCUUAAGUUCAAAAAAUGACAAAAUUUCAAAUUCAACAAAUGACCUAUAUUCACAUUAAACAAUUGCCAAAAACUCAAGUUCAACAAACUCAAGUUCAAAAAUUGCAACAAACUCAGGUUCAAAAAAUACACAAAUUCAAGUUCAAAAACACCACAAACUCAAGUUCAAAAAUGCGGAAACUUAAUUUCAACCAACACCCAACUCUCAAGUUUAACAAUUGCCACAACCUUUUGUCCAAAAACAACAGAAACUAAAAUUCAAAAACACCAAAAACUCAAGUUAAAAAAACCCCACACAAAUUCAAGAUCACAAAACAGCACAAUCUCAAGUUCAAACAAGACACAAACUCAGGUUCAACAAACACCACAAACUCAAGUUCAAACACGCCACAAACUCAAGUUCAACAAACGCCACAAACUCAACUUCAAAAACACCACACAAACUGAAGUUCUAAAACGACACAAACUCAAGUUCAACAAACACAACAAGUCAAGUUCAAGCAACACCCGAUUCUCAAGUUUAACAAUUUCCACAACCUCAAAUUCAAAAAACACACAAACUCAAGUUCAAAAACACCAGAACCUCAAGUUCAAAAAACAUAAUAAACUCAAGUUCAAAUAUUCCACAAACUCAAGUUCAAUGAACACCACAAACUCAAGUUCAACCAACACCCGAUUCUCAAGUUUAACAAUUGCCAAAACCUCAAGUUAAAAAAAACACAAACUCAAGUUCAAACACUUCACAAACUCAAGUUCAAACACUUCACAAACUCAAGUUCAACAAACGCCACAAGCUCAAGUUCAACAAACGCCACAAACUCAAGUUCAACAAUUGCCACCAACUAAAGUUCACUAAAAACCAAAGACUCAAGUUCAACAAUUGCCAAAAAAUCAAGCGAAACAAACUCAAGUUCAUAAGUUGUCACAAACUUCAAACACGACACAAACUCAAGUUCAAAAACACCACAAACUCAA